rnacentral:lncRNA from 1 species
GAUUUUGAGAAGAGGAUUUGAGGACUUUAGAUUUGAGUGAUUUGGAUUUGGAUAAAAAUAUGACGAAUUUGAUUUAGGGUUUUGGAUUUGAAUAUGAGAAAUUUCAGAUAAGGGUUUAGAGACAACCUAGGAUCAAUUGCUCUGAUACCAUGCUAGAUUAUGUAUAUGGUUUGAAUACUUUGGGUUAGGUUUUAUUCUUCUUCAUAAGGAGGUAUAUAUAGGAGUUCACAUGAGUGAUUUACAAAGAAAUAGAUACAGUAAUCAAUUAGGAUAGUAUCUCCUAAUUAUACAAUGAUUUGUCAACUAUAUAGAAUAGGAAAAUAAAUUCCUUAAUUAAUCAAGGAAAUAAAUUUCCUUGAUUAAUUAGGAGAUUCACGUCAACAGAUAGUACCAUUUUCUUUAUCCACCUUCCGACAUUACAGCAAAAGUAGGACAAGUCUUAUCCAGCUUAUGCCAGGGCAAGCCAAUCCAAGACAGUCUCAGUAUUUAGUCC